rnacentral:hammerhead_ribozyme from 1 species
ACCCUUCUGAAGAGUGCCAAUUAGCACGAAACCCGGGUCCAAGGU